rnacentral:rRNA from 1 species
CCUACGGGUCGCACCAGUAGGGAAUCUUCCACAAUGGACGCAAGUCUGAUGGAGCAACGCCGCGUGAGCGAAGAAGGGUUUCGGCUCGUAAAGCUCUGUUGUUGGUGAAGAAGGACAGGGGUAGUAACUGACCUUUGUUUGACGGUAAUCAAUUAGAGAGUCACGGCUAACUACGUGCCAGCAGCCGCAGUAAUACGUAGGUGGCAAGCGUUGUCCGGGUUUAUUGGGCGUAAAGCGAGUGCAGGCGGCUCGAUAAGUCUGAUGUGAAAGCCUUCGGCUCAACCGGAGAAUUGCAUCAGAAACUGUCGAGCUUGAGUACGGAAGAGGAGAGUGGAACUCCAUGUGUAGCGGUGAAAUGCGUAGAUAUAUGGAAGAACACCGGUGGCGAAGGCGGCUCUCUGGUCUGUUACUGACGCUGAGGCUCGAAAGCAUGGGUAGCGAACAGGAUUAGAUACCCGGGUAGUC